rnacentral:rRNA from 1 species
CUACGGGGGGCAGCAGUGGGGAAUAUUGCACAAUGGGGGAAACCCUGAUGCAGCAACGCCGCGUGGAGGAUGACACAUUUCGGUGCGUAAACUCCUUUUAUAUGAGAAGAUAAUGACGGUAUCAUAUGAAUAAGCUCCGGCUAACUCCGUGCCAGCAGCCGCGGUAAUACGGGGGGAGCAAGCGUUACUCGGAAUCACUGGGCGUAAAGAGCAUGUAGGCUGAUAAAAAAGUUAGAAGUGAAAUCCUGUGGCUUAACCAUAGAACUGCUUCUAAAACUCUUUAUCUAGAAUAUGGGAGAGGUAGAUGGAAUUUCUGGUGUAGGGGUAAAAUCCGUAGAGAUCAGAAGGAAUACCGAUUGCGAAGGCGAUCUACUGGAACAUAAUUGACGCUGAGAUGCGAAAGCGUGGGGAGCAAACAGGAUUAGAUACCCCUGUAGUC